UAUGAGAGUUUGAUCCUGGCUCAGGACGAACGCUGGCGGCGUGCCUAAUACAUGCAAGUCGUACGCUUCUUUUUCCACCGGAGCUUGCUCCACCGGAAAAAGAAGAGUGGCGAACGGGUGAGUAACACGUGGGUAACCUGCCCAUCAGAAGGGGAUAACACUUGGAAACAGGUGCUAAUACCGUAUAACAAUCGAAACCGCAUGGUUUUGAUUUGAAAGGCGCUUUCGGGUGUCGCUGAUGGAUGGACCCGCGGUGCAUUAGCUAGUUGGUGAGGUAACGGCUCACCAAGGCCACGAUGCAUAGCCGACCUGAGAGGGUGAUCGGCCACAUUGGGACUGAGACACGGCCCAAACUCCUACGGGAGGCAGCAGUAGGGAAUCUUCGGCAAUGGACGAAAGUCUGACCGAGCAACGCCGCGUGAGUGAAGAAGGUUUUCGGAUCGUAAAACUCUGUUGUUAGAGAAGAA
rnacentral:rRNA from 1 species